rnacentral:rRNA from 1 species
AUUUUUAUGGAGAGUUUGAUCCUGGCUCAGGAUGAACGCUGGCGGCGUGCCUAAUACAUGCAAGUCGAGCGAACGGACGAGAAGCUUGCUUCUCUGAUGUUAGCGGCGGACGGGUGAGUAACACGUGGAUAACCUACCUAUAAGACUGGGAUAACUUCGGGAAACCGGAGCUAAUACCGGAUAAUAUUUUGAACCGCAUGGUUCAAAAGUGAAAGACGGUCUUACUGUCACUUAUAGAUGGAUCCGCGCUGCAUUAGCUAGUUGGUAAGGUAACGGCUUACCAAGGCAACGAUGCAUAGCCGACCUGAGAGGGUGAUCGGCCACACUGGAACUGAGACACGGUCCAGACUCCUACGGGAGGCAGCAGUAGGGAAUCUUCCGCAAUGGGCGAAAGCCUGACGGAGCAACGCCGCGUGAGUGAUGAAGGUCUUCGGAUCGUAAAACUCUGUUAUUAGGGAAGAACAUAUGUGUAAGUAACUGUGCACAUCUUGACGGUACCUAAUCAGAAAGCCACGGCUAACUACGUGCCAGCAGCCGCGGUAAUACGUAGGUGGCAAGCGUUAUCCGGAAUUAUUGGGCGUAAAGCGCGCGUAGGCGGUUUUUUAAGUCUGAUGUGAAAGCCCACGGCUCAACCGUGGAGGGUCAUUGGAAACUGGAAAACUUGAGUGCAGAAGAGGAAAGUGGAAUUCCAUGUGUAGCGGUGAAAUGCGCAGAGAUAUGGAGGAACACCAGUGGCGAAGGCGACUUUCUGGUCUGUAACUGACGCUGAUGUGCGAAAGCGUGGGGAUCAAACAGGAUUAGAUACCCUGGUAGUCCACGCCGUAAACGAUGAGUGCUAAGUGUUAGGGGGUUUCCGCCCCUUAGUGCUGCAGCUAACGCAUUAAGCACUCCGCCUGGGGAGUACGACCGCAAGGUUGAAACUCAAAGGAAUUGACGGGGACCCGCACAAGCGGUGGAGCAUGUGGUUUAAUUCGAAGCAACGCGAAGAACCUUACCAAAUCUUGACAUCCUUUGACAACUCUAGAGAUAGAGCUUUCCCCUUCGGGGGACAAAGUGACAGGUGGUGCAUGGUUGUCGUCAGCUCGUGUCGUGAGAUGUUGGGUUAAGUCCCGCAACGAGCGCAACCCUUAAGCUUAGUUGCCAUCAUUAAGUUGGGCACUCUAAGUUGACUGCCGGUGACAAACCGGAGGAAGGUGGGGAUGACGUCAAAUCAUCAUGCCCCUUAUGAUUUGGGCUACACACGUGCUACAAUGGACAAUACAAAGGGCAGCGAAACCGCGAGGUCAAGCAAAUCCCAUAAAGUUGUUCUCAGUUCGGAUUGUAGUCUGCAACUCGACUACAUGAAGCUGGAAUCGCUAGUAAUCGUAGAUCAGCAUGCUACGGUGAAUACGUUCCCGGGUCUUGUACACACCGCCCGUCACACCACGAGAGUUUGUAACACCCGAAGCCGGUGGAGUAACCUUUUAGGAGCUAGCCGUCGAAGGUGGGACAAAUGAUUGGGGUGAAGUCGUAACAAGGUAGCCGUAUCGGAAGGUGCGGCUGGAUCACCUCCUUU